rnacentral:rRNA from 1 species
GAUGAACGCUGGCGGCGUGCCUAAUACAUGCAAGUCGAGCGAACGGACGAGAAGCUUGCUUCUCUGAUGUUAGCGGCGGACGGGUGAGUAACACGUGGAUAACCUACCUAUAAGACUGGGAUAACUUCGGGAAACCGGAGAUAAUACCGGAUAAUAUUUUGAACCGCAUGGUUCAAAAGUGAAAGACGGUCUUGCUGUCACUUAUAGAUGGAUCCUCGCUGCAUUAGCUAGUAGGUAAGGUAACGGCUUACCAAGGCAACGAUGCCUAGACGACCUGGGAGGGGGGUAGGCCACACUGGAACGGGAACACCCACACUGGGCCUACGGGAAGGAGCAGUAGGGAAGCGUACGCAAUGGGGGAAAACCUUACGGAACGACGGCACGCGUGUUGUAGAGGGCCUGCGAGCGGAAAAACGUUUUUCUAGUGAAAAACAUAUUUGUAAGGAACAGAGGCGAACUUGACGGUACCUGAAGAAGAAGCCACGGCUAACUACGUG